AUGGGCGCGCUCGGCCCCGACAUCCACCAGCUCUACCUGCAGCUGCAGCUCCUCUCCGGCCAGGACGCGAGCAAAGCUCAGCCGCCCUUCUUCCACCCGACUCCGACUCCUCCUCCGCACGCGCCGGGCUCUAGCUCUAGCUACGUCGCCGCCGCCCACGGCCCGGUGGACGACUUCGUCUACGGGUUGGUGCCGGGCGCGGGGAACGGCACGCUGGCGCCGGGGGAGGGCUCGCCGAUGCUUGGCCACAGCGCGUUCCUGGAGAACGACCAGUUCGUGGACGGCUUGGAGGACCCGCUGGCGCUGAUGAGCGGCGACGAGUUGAGCGCCUUCUUGAGCGACGAGGCUGGCGGCGUGCCGCCGGAGUUCCUGCCGGAUUUCCUGGCGAGAUCGCUCGCGGCGUGCCAGACGGCGAUGGCCGACUCGCCGCCCGUGCCCCCCGCGGGCGUGCCGAGCCGGUCGUCCUCUGGUUCGCCCGGUCUGGGCUGCGCCCAGGCGAGACCCACUGACGACUCUCCGGCGGGCGGCCUGGAGGAGCCGCUGACGAGGAUGAGCGGCGACGACGACUUGAGCGCGUUCUUGAGCGACGAGGCGGGCGUCAACUCGCUGUCCAUGCCGCCGGAGUACCCGAUUAGAUCGCUGCUGGUGUACCAACCGGCCAUGGCCGACUCGCCGCCCGCGCCCACCGCGGCCGUGCCGAGCCAGUCGUCCUCCGGUUCGCCGGGUCAGGGAUGCGCCCAGGCCAGAGCCACUGACUCUCCGGUGGGCGGCGCUUAUCAGCCGGUGCCGGACUACUCGCAGGCCGCAUCCCUCGACGCGCCGCAGCAGGAGCCUGACAGCGAGACGGCGGAGGUGGCCCGGAUGGCUCACGUGGCGGCGCGGUGCGGCGACAAGCCGUCCACGGCGUGGUCCGUGGAGGAGGACCAGCUGCUGUUCCGAGGCCUCUCCCGGUUUGCCGGCCAAGACAAUGUCAUCCAGUGCCUCAACAUCGCAUCCGGGCUCGCGGAGAAGACCGCGCUUGAUGUCGCGUAUCGGAUCCGGUGGCUGUCAGGCUUGAAGUCUUUGUCAUUGUGGCAGAAGAAAAAUCUGGGGCAAGAAAAAUCUGCAGUAGCAAAUGUUACAAAGGGAAAGGGAACCAAGGUUGCUAACAAGAAAAACAACAAACACCCCCUGUCCAAAGAGGCUCUAGAUUCCAGGAGCGUGAAAGACAUUAUUCGGGAUAAUAACAGGCUUAUGGAUAAAAUAGAAGAAAUCUUGAGAACAGGAGAGGUGAAUAACUGUCCAGACUACUUUUACUAUGUGAAGAUGAACAUGGAUGCUAUGCAGAACAAAGUAAAGGACCUGGCCUCUGUCAUGUUAGGACUCGCGGUAGGUGAUGAAGAAUGGGAGGACGUCUUGAAGGAUCGCCACGACACACCGCAGGCUGGAGAGGAUGCUGCCACCACCCCGGCGCCAUGA
rnacentral:rRNA from 1 species